rnacentral:rRNA from 1 species
GAUGAACGCUGGCGGCGUGCCUAACACAUGCAAGUCGAGCGAAGCGGUUUUAAGGAAGUUUUCGGAUGGAAUUAAAACUGACUGAGCGGCGGACGGGUGAGUAACGCGUGGGUAACCUGCCUCAUACAGGGGGAUAACAGUUAGAAAUGGCUGCUAAUACCGCAUAAGCACACAGCUUCGCAUGGAGCAGUGUGAAAAACUCCGGUGGUAUGAGAUGGACCCGCGUCUGAUUAGCUAGUUGGUAAGGUAACGGCUUACCAAGGCGACGAUCAGUAGCCGACCUGAGAGGGUGACCGGCCACAUUGGGACUGAGACACGGCCCAAACUACUACGGGAGGCAGCAGUGGGGAAUAUUGCACAAUGGGGGAAACCCUGAUGCAGCGACGCCGCGUGAGUGAAGAAGUAUCUCGGUAUGUAAAGCUCUAUCAGCAGGGAAGAAAAUGACGGUACCUGACUAAGAAGCCCCGGCUAACUACGUGCCAGCCGCCGCCGUAA